GGGGACGUUUUGGAUUAGACAGGAUGUUUGGUUGAAACAGGCUGCGAGUCCGUGCGCUGUUCACGGUUAUCAACGAGCAAACCAAAUUAAAUGCUAACAAUGUUGUAAAAGCAGACUUCUCUAGAGCUUAUGCUUUAGCAGCGUAGUCGCUAUUUAGCUACUUGUAUUUCCCAGCUUGCCGGAAAUAUGAGUCCACGAUGCAAGCGGCAGUACGUUGAUGACGGUAGGCGUAUCAAGAUAACCGUUAAAGGUUAGUGUUUCCGGAAAAAACACUUUGGAUUAUUUAAAAGGUUUUGAUAUUCCCUGAAUAGUCCGAGAAAAUUAAUAUCUACACCCGUAGAAGCUUGUUUAGAUCCAUUUUGGACGCGGGUUCGACUCCCGCCGUCUCCA
rnacentral:tmRNA from 1 species